rnacentral:rRNA from 1 species
UACAGAGGGUGCAAGCGUUGUCCGGAAUCACUGGGCGUAAAGGGCGCGUAGGCGGCCUGAUAAGUCGGGGGUGAAUUCUGCGGCUUAACCGCAGGACGGCCUUCGAGACUGUCGGGCUUGAGCACGGUAGAGGCAGGUGGAAUUCCCGGUGUAGCGGUGGAAUGCGCAGAUAUCAGGAGGAACACCGAUGGCGAAGGCAGGUCACUGGGCCGCAACUGACGCUGAGGAGCGAAGACGUGGGUAGCAAACAGG